rnacentral:rRNA from 1 species
UACGUAGGGUGCGAGCGUUGUUCGGAAUUACUGGGCGUAAAGCGUGUGCAGGCGGCCUGUUAAGUCCGAUGUGAAAUCCCUGGGCUCAACCCAGGAAUUGCAUUGGAAACUAGCGGGCUGGAGUUCGGGAGAGGGUAGUGGAAUUCCUGGUGUAGAGGUGAAAUUCGUAGAUAUUGGGAAGAACACCGGUGGCGAAGGCGGCUCACUGGCUCAUUACUGACGCUCAGGCGCGACAGCGUGGGGAUCAAACAGG